AGCCACACAGCGGGCACAGAGAGCACUAUUCUUUCGUGUGUUACUAAAUAAUACCGUGUGCUCGCUGCAACUAGCGUUAUACGCUAAGUUUUUUCUAAGGUGAUUUUUUCGAAUGAA